ensembl:snRNA U6 U6 spliceosomal RNA
GUGAUGACAUCGGCAGCACAUAUACUAAAAUUGGAAUGAUACAGACAAGAUUAGCAUGGCCCCUGAGCAAGGAUGACACGCCAAUUCGUGAAGUGUUCCAUAUAAGG